rnacentral:misc_RNA from 1 species
ACAAAAUGUCAUACAACUAUUGCAUUAAAUAUACAAACACAGAUGAUAACAGUGAAAAAGAGGAUAUACUUAACGAAGCAGUAGAGUAUGCUAUAAGUGAAGAUGUUAAAAGAACACAAGAUUUGUAUAAUUUUAUUGACGAAUUUAUCAACUCGGAAGAAUACCUACAAUACAUAACAGAGAAACGAAAUAUUGCCAAAAAGAACGAAGCCACACAGUACGAUUUAAAUGAUAUAAAUGUUGCUUAUGUACAAGCAGGACAUACAAUAACCUGUUCAUUAGUUGAAGAGCAGAAAAAAAUGCACGCGUUUAAAAUUCAAUUUGAGAAAUUUACAGAGAGGCAGAAAAAUUUACAAAAAAUUAAAAACCAAGAAAACGGUAUAAAGAUAAUAAAGGAAAAAAUUCAGGCAGCAAAACAAAUUUUUGAAUGUUCUAAAGAUAACCAAGCAAAAAAAUUGAGAAAUAUAAAUAAUAAACUGUUAAACAAAUAUACUAAAAAACUAAAUAUAGAUUUAUAUUCUUUUAAAAAUAAAGCACAAGCUGAGGUUUUGGAACGAUUGAGAAACUUGGAAAGACAUAUAUAUCUGUCAAAAAAAAGAAGACAAGAAAAUCUGACGAACAUUCUAAGAAAAUUAGUUAAUGAGCAGCAGGCAAAAAAGCUAGAAAAACGUCCACAAGUUUCUGUUCCUAAAAUUCGAGAUACAGAAAGAAUUAUUAAUAAUAUGGAAAUAGUUGGCACAAAAAUAGAGUUGAUAUGUGGAGAAGAAAUUGAAAAUCAAGAAAUAAUUUCUUCCUCUAAAGAUGUAAUAAAUGAAGCAGAUAAACAAACUAUAUCUACCGAAGAAAAAACAAAAAUGAAGACAACUAAAAAGCCGGGUGCAUUAAAAGAACAAAAUAAAAAUACGACGCAAGAUAAAGAAAACAAAGAAAAAAAGAAAUCUAAAAAAGAGCUAAAGGAGCCACGGGGCAAACAUCAACAGUUUGAAUUGCCAGUAAUACCUGUAAUAAAUCCAAGAUCUAAAGUUCUCCCAGAAAAUACCACAAAAUUAUUAGAUCUAAUAGAAGAAUUCCAAAACUUUGAUGCUAUGUUGGAAGAUACAGAAAUCUGUAAAAAAGGAUAUGACAGUCAUGGCCUUAAAGAUUAUGGCUUAUUAUUAAAACAAAACGAAGUUAUAUUUAAGAAUUAUGACACGCACAAAAGUUAUUCAAAAUCGAUCCGAAUUACGAACGUUUCUACUGAGACAAGAAAAUUACGAUUUUUAAAGUUUUGGUUUGAAGAUUCAUACGAUCAACUCCUUUUCAAAAUACACCCUUUGGGAAUUAAGAAAUUAUAUCCUGGUUGCACCGCACUUUUCUACAUACAUUUUUCUCCGUACGACAGUUCUAAAUCGUAUAAUGGCAAAAUAUUUUUUUGUUCCUAUAAUACUCGAAGGCACCAAUACCAUCAACUUGAAGUAAAUUUGAACUGUCUUCCAAAAUUCGUUAAUUUACAGAUAUUACCUAAUACAAUUAAUUUUGGAAAAAUACCAAUUUGGAAAGCAGGCUAUGGGAAGAGUUUUAAAACUAUUAAGUUCAUCAAUAGAGGAACGAAACCAUGUAAACUACAUGUUAAAAAAAUACAGGAUGAUUUAGAAAUAGAGGACAACCUAAAACAUGAUAAUUCCAGAAACAUAGAUGAAAACUUAAAAUCCCAAAAAAAAACACUUAACGGCAUUACAGAAAACGAUGAAAAUUAUGAAUGUAUUCGGUUUAUCCUAGAUCUGUGCUUAGAAAACAUAGGAAAUACCUUUGAAUUCGAAUGUACUCGAAUCACUCUCAAGGCAGCAGAAGAGAAAAAAAUUAAAGUUCAUUUCAAAAAACCUUCCUACAUUGGCAACUAUUCCGAAAAAUUUUCUGUUGAUGUUUACGAAGAUGUUCCAUAUGAAAGUUUGAAUAUAUUAUGUGGUUGCCAGGAGAUAACUGUAUUUGCUGAAACAGUUGGCCCCUUCAUUUCAGUAAAGCCCAUAUUGUUAGAUUUUGGGACAUGCCUAGUUAAUUCAUGCUAUAAAUUAUGUUUCGAAGUUUUUAACAAUUCUAAUAAUAGUCAAGCAAUAUCUAUACGUAUUCCACAAGAUUUGUGUGACAUGUUUGAAGUAAACGUUUCGACGAUUUAUCUGGCAUCACAAAGUAGUCGUGUAAUGUGGUUAAAAUUUUUCGUAUGCGAUUAUAUGCUCAAAAGCAAUUUCAGUUACUUCUGUAAAUCGACAUCAAUUUUAGAAUUCUACAUUCAUCUACAGCUCGUUAGUAAGAACUAUCUAGAUUAUCCACCACUGAAAAUACCUGUUUAUGCAAUCGUAACGAAUUCCGAUGAACUGGAUAUUUCUGCAAUAUCUACCGAAAAUAUUAAUAAUUUUUUGAAUACAAUAAUGGUGGAUUUGGGAACAUGCUCUAUCUACGAAACUGUUUAUACCGAUAUUUAUUUGACAAACAGUUCCAGUGCAACACAAACAUGUGGAUUUUUUAAUUUACCAGAUUGUGUUAAACUGGAACCCAAUUAUGGGUUUAUCAGAUUGUUUCCAAAUCGGCGUAAAAAGAUUCGAAUAUACGUUAGCCCUGAAAUUCAAGAUUAUCCAAGUUAUGGCGCGGGGAAUUUAAAAAAUAGCGUAUGCUAUUUAAAAUUAGCAAUUGAUACUGUAUAUAACGUUGGACAAUUAAAACGGGAAAUCAGCUCAAAAAAACUUCAGGGUUCCUUCGAUAUGAUGUUAAGUGAAAUAGUUAAGAAAGAUACAGAGCUAAUACAAAGUAUGAUAGGCUUUGUAGCGAAUAUUAAAAAAACAUUGUCAGCAACACCAUGGGCAGAAUUCUUUGAAAUUCAAGAAGCAAGAGAAGAGAAAACACUACAAACCGACAAUGAAACCAAAGUAGAUGAAACCACACAGUGUAAUCUUUCUGCUUUAAACAUACAAAACUUCGUUAUUCUCGAAACCAGUAGUCGUAAAGAUAUUUGGUUAAAGGUAAAUUUGAAAAGACCUCUAGUUGAAUUAUCCCAUCAACUAGUGGAGUUUCCCGACACACCUUGUGGCUCCUAUUCAACGAUGGAAAUAUUUCUCAAUAUGAUCAGAAAGAGAAUGGAACUAGAAUGCGAAACAUUAAACAAAAAGACUAAGCACAAAGAGAAUAUCACUAUACGUUUUAAUAUAUCCAGCGAUAACUCCGAAAUAUCAGUUGAACCAAGAUGUGGAAUAAUCAAAACGGGUCAAUCGAUCAAACUGACCCUACUGGCAAACCCUUUGAUACCUAAAGAUAUUCUCGAUCAGACGGCGAAAUCAAUAAAAUAUCAAGAAUUGUACGAGAUGAAAUUAAAUGAAUUUAAAGCCUCCCAGGGGAAGAAGUAUGGUAAACAAAAUAAAAACAAAUCUAAAAAAUUAUCAAUUGAAUCCACAAAAUCUAAAGGCACAGUGAAAUCUAAAGAAAGCGAAAAUUCUAAAAAGGGCAAAAAGACGACUACCCCAAAAAAGAAAAUAAAAAAUGAGAUGGAAACAGAUAAAAAAGAUGCUGAAGAAGAGCCAGUUAUUGUAAUACCAGAAAAAGAUUUAGAAUAUAGUUAUUUAGAUCUUUUUCCUGCUGAAAUGGUUUACUGGAGAAAUAUGGAACCAUAUUAUAUUAAAGCUAACUUCAUAUGUAAAACGGUCUACGAAAAUGAUGAUACAAUAAAGGAAUUUCGACUGUAUUUCCAAGCUAAUUGUAGAGUUGUUCAACCCGACUUCAUCACAAACUUAAAUCUUCAAAGGAUAGACUUUGGAAGGUGUGCAGUUGGAGGUUCUAUAUUCAAAAUUAUUACGCUUCAAAACAUAAAAUAUCAUAGUAUACAACUAAGGACGUCCCUUCUUGAUCCAUUAGGAUCAUUUUCAAUUACUUGUGUUCCAAAAUUUAAGGUUCCAGCUGAACAUUUCUUAAAUUUGCCUCUUAAAUUUUCACCACAUGCCGUUGGUCAGGUAAAUGAGUACUUUGAAAUACGAACUAAAUCAACGAUAUUACCGUUAAUUCUAAGUGGGCAAGCUGUUCCAAUUAAUGUAAAUAUAAUUCCAGAAGUUACAUUUUUCAGAUUAGAAGUGAAAGGAAAUCGCUUGGCAGAAUUACAACUGAAAAUAUCAAACUUGUCUGAAGUUGAAGUAACGUUACGAUUUAUCAAAUUGUUCGAAAUAGUAAACAAUCCGGAAGAUAUUUCUAGUAAAAACGAAGAUUUGAUAGAUAAAAUAAAAAAUAAAAAUGAUAAAAAAGAUAAGAAAGAGAAAGGUCCAAAAGGAACCAAAUUUUCAAAUGACAUCACUGAUUUAGAAAUAACCACCAUCAGAAAAAACUUUAGCAAAAGUGAAGGUAACACUAAUACUAAUAUAAUUUAUUACAACCAAUAUCAGUAAAGAUAAUUAUAAAUAAAGCAGUGAAUACUUAAAUUUCUGAUGUAUUGUCUGUACAUCAGAAUAUAUUAUAAAAAAAAAUUAUAUUUAUCUAAGUACAGUAUGCACAACAAGAGGACGCAUGACAGUGACAGUAAAUUAACCCUCACAUUUUUGUUUAAAUCAAACAGGAAAUUAUAGUUUGGAACCAAAU